CUUCCUGGUCCGGGAAAGGGAAAGAAUUCGGGAGGGGUAGGAUUUUUUUUUUUUUCCCGGUAGGAUAGGUGGGGAAAAGACCGCUGCCUGUGUGUCCCUCUUUUGGACUAAGGUGUCUCUGUUGCUCCAUAAAUAAAACGUCUCACUGCCUUCUGCGAGCGCUAUAAAGGCGGCGGAACGGCUGUCCCAGGGGCAUUCCGGGCCGGACUUGAGCCGGAGCAGGUGAGAUCGUCGCUGAAGAUGCAGCGCACCCCACCCCGCCCUGGCUUAACUCCCGGGGAGGCAUCGCUGGUUGGGGAUGGGACUAGUGGGGGGGGGGGACACAGAGCCGCCGGGCAGGGGACAGUACAGCCUUCUUUCUGAGAAGCUGACUGCGAGAAGGAAGCUAGGAAAACAGGCCGAGGGGUGAGACCUGCUCCACCCGCCCAAAGUUCUGUCCCCGGGAGAGCGCGCCCGGCUGCUGGAAUUUGCCUGCAACGCGGGCGCAGCCUCGGGACCCGGGGAGCAUGGCUUGAGGGUUCCACGCCCGGCUCCGGGGGUUGUGUUUCUUUCCCAGGGCGCGCCUGGCGCUGCGCCCUGGGUCGGGUGCGGGGAGAGAGGGACGUUCACAGAGUCCCCCUUCCUGCCCCUGCGCGCCGCGGGCCCCAGCCCGGGUUUGGGGAGAUUUCAGGACGCGGACAGCGCCCUGGCUGCCCAUCUGAGGGGACUGGGUCGGGCUCCCGCCGCCCCCCAGCGCCGGGCUCACUCUCUUAUUAGAGUCCGGUUGCGCCGGGCGGCAGGUGCAGGCUCGGGACCCAGAGGUCCUCAGGGCCCCCUGCAGGCUGGAGGUGCGCGCCCGGGGGUGGCAGGCCCGGGCGCAGAGGGCGGCAGCGCGCGGACCAGGAUCUCGGGGAUCGGCUGCAACAGGUGGGGCCGGCCGGGGGCGGCUGACGGGCGGUCUUCACCUCCUCUUCUCUUCCCUCGUUCCAUCUCCUCCCUCCUCGUCGUCCUCCGCCUCUCAGGUCAUGGCAGCGCCGGGCGGCAGGUUGGAGCCGCCGCCGCUCCCCGAGUACAGCUGCAGCUACGUGGUGUCGCGGCCGGUCUACAGCGAGCUCGCCUUCCAGCAGCAGUACGAGCGGCGCCUGCAGGAGCGCAAGACGCUGCGGGAGAGCCUGGCCAAGGGCUGCAGUUGUUCAAGAAAGAGAACCCUUGGUGUGCUGAAGACUCUCCUGCCCAUCUUGGACUGGCUCCCCAAAUACCGGAUCAAGGAAUGGCUGCUUAGUGAUACCAUUUCGGGAGUCAGUACUGGGCUAGUGGGGACACUGCAAGGCAUGGCGUAUGCUCUACUAGCUGCUGUUCCUGUUGGAUAUGGUCUCUACUCUGCUUUUUUUCCUAUCCUGACAUACUUUUUCUUCGGAACAUCAAGACACAUCUCAGUUGGACCUUUCCCAGUGGUCAGUUUAAUGGUGGGAUCUGUUGUUCUGAGCAUGGCCCCCGACGAACACUUUCUCGUGUCCAGCAGUAAUGGAACUACACUGAAUACCACCAUGAUAGACUCUGCAGCUAGAGAUGCAGCAAGAGUAUUGAUUGCGAGCACCCUUACUCUUUUGGUUGGAAUCAUACAGUUGAUAUUUGGAGGUUUGCAGAUUGGAUUCAUAGUGAGGUACCUGGCAGAUCCUUUGGUUGGUGGAUUCACAACAGCUGCUGCCUUCCAAGUGUUGGUCUCACAGCUGAAGAUUGUCCUCAAUGUUUCAACCAAAAACUACAAUGGAAUUCUCUCCAUUAUCUAUACUCUAAUUGAGAUUUUUCAAAAUAUUGGUAACACUAAUCUUGCUGAUUUCAUUGCUGGAUUACUCACCAUUAUCAUCUGUAUGGCAGUUAAGGAAUUAAAUGAUCGAUUUAAACACAAAAUCCCAGUCCCUAUUCCUAUAGAAGUGAUUGUGACAAUAAUAGCUACUGCCAUUUCAUAUGGAGUUGACCUGGAAAAAAACUAUAACGCUGGCAUUGUUAAGUCCAUCCCAAGUGGGUUUUUGCCUCCAGCGAUUCCAUCUGUGAGUUUGUUUUCUGAGAUGCUGACUGCAUCAUUUUCCAUCGCUGUGGUCGCUUAUGCCAUUGCAGUGUCUGUAGGAAAAGUAUACGCCAUCAAGUAUGAUUACACCAUCGAUGGGAACCAGGAAUUCAUUGCUUUUGGGAUCAGCAACAUCUUCUCUGGAUUCUUCUCUUGUUUUGUGGCCACCACUGCCCUGUCCCGCACCGCCGUCCAGGAGAGCACUGGGGGAAAGACACAGGUUGCCGGCGUCAUCUCGGCUGGGAUCGUGAUGAUAGCCAUCGUUGCCCUGGGCAAGUUGUUGGAACCCUUGCAGAAGUCGGUCUUGGCAGCUGUUGUAAUCGCCAACCUGAAGGGGAUGUUUAUGCAGGUGUGUGACAUUCCUCAUCUGUGGAGGCAGAAUAAGACUGAUGCUGUUAUUUGGGUGUUUACGUGCGUAGCAUCCAUCUUUCUGGGGCUGGACCUUGGUUUACUAGCUGGCCUUAUAUUUGGAUUUCUGACUGUGGUCCUGAGAGUUCAAUUCCCCUCAUGGAACAGCCUUGGAAGUAUCCCUAGCACAGACAUCUACAAAAGCACCAAGAAUUACAAAAACAUUGAAGAACCUGAAGGAGUGAAGAUUCUGAGAUUUUCUAGUCCUAUUUUUUACGGCAAUGUUGAUGGUUUAAAAAAAUGUAUCAAGUCCACAGUUGGAUUUGAUGCCAUUAGAGUGUAUAAUAAGAGGUUGAAAGCACUGAGGAAAAUACAGAAACUCAUCAAAAAAGGGCAAUUAAGAGCAGCAAAGAAUGGCAUUAUAAGUGAUGCUGGUUCAUUGAAUAAUGCUUUUGAGCCUGAUGAAGACAUCGAAAAUCCAGAAGAAUUUGAUAUUCCAACCAAGGAAAUAGAGAUUCAAGUGGAUUGGAAUGCUGAGCUUCCAGUCAAAGUGAAUGUUCCUAAAGUGCCGAUCCAUAGCCUCGUGCUUGACUGUGGAGCUGUCUCUUUCCUGGAUGUUGUUGGAGUGAGAUCAUUGCGUGUGAUUGUCAAAGAAUUCCAAAGAAUUGAUGUAAAUGUGUACUUUGCAUCACUUCAAGAUCAUGUGAUAGAAAAGCUGGAGAAAUGUGGUUUCUUUAAUGAUAACAUCAGAAAGGACAUAUUCUUUUUGACUGUCCACGAUGCUGUCCUCCAUCUCCAGAACCAGGUGAAAUCCCAAGAGGUUCAAGAUUCCAUUUUAGAAACGAUCACCCUCAUCCAAGACUGUAAAGAUCCUCUUGAAUUAAUGGAAGCAGAGCUGAUUGAAGAAGAACUUGAUGUCCAAGAUGAGGCUAUGCGAAGACUUGCUUCCUGAAAUUGGGCUCAGGAGAUCGCUCUAAGCAAGGACUGCAAGGCAAAUUUUACCCACCACUAGGUAAGACUCCAGGCUCCCAGUGCUGGGGGCCCAGGUUCGAUCCCUGGUCAGGGAACUAGAUCCCGCAUGCAUGCUGCAACUAAGAAGUCCGCAGGCUGCAACUAAAAGAUCCUGCGUGCUGCAACUAAGACCCAGCACAGCCAAAAUAAAUAAAUAAAUAAAUAUUAAAAUAAAGAGAAAAUACCAUCCUUUCCCCUUCUUCGAUGCAAUGUAACCUUUAUCAUAAAUCAGCUAACUCUAUAUGCUUGUGUCUGUUUCUAGACUCUCUGUUCCAUUGGUCUAUUUUUCUGCCCUUGUACCAAUACUUUACUGUCUUAAUUACUAUAGUUUUUAGUAACUCUAGAUAUAUGGAAGUGUAAUUCUUCCAGUUUGUUCUUUUCCUACUAUAUUUAUGCUUAGCCCUCUGCAUUCCCAUUUACAUUUUAGAAGAGCCUAUCCAUUUGUAACAAUUAUUAUUCUUAAUAUAUUUUCUAGAAUUAGCAAAAAUUUUC